CUCCUUGUAGCUUAGUGGUAGAGCACUGUUACGGAAAACCAGGGACUCGAGUUCGAUUCCCGGUGAGGGAG
rnacentral:tRNA from 1 species